ACUAACUCAUCAGAAGCAGAAGCGCCCUGGUGAUUCUAUGCCACACCACCAUUCCCCAGGAAAAUGUUCUCCACUGAGACAAAAUCCUUAAAUUUUUAGAAUGGCCUUAUUAUGGAUUACAGCAAACAUCUCAGCACAUCUUUCUCAGCAAGGAUCUCAAAACAGCAUUGGGAUGGCCUUAUUAAUAGAUCCCUUACGAAAACUCAGAAAAGUUAGAGAGGCACUCAGAAUCUUCCUAAAAUAUGAAAUGUUGAAAUCUGGAUUCUUUUUUUACCAUGACUGCAAAAUGUAAGCCACUACUUGGGCUCACCUUGUUGAAUCAGAUUUCUUCUACUUUGCCAUUUUGAUGAUAUCACUCCCAGGUAUGUUUUUUUCUUUUUUUUUCCUUUUCUUUUUCCUUUCUUUUCUCUUUCUUUUUUUUUUUUUUUUUUUUUUUUGAGACAGAGUUGUGCUCCUGUUGCCCAGGCUGGAGUGCAAUGGCACGAUCUCUGUAGGCUCACUGCAACCUCCACCUCCCCAGUUCAAGCAAUUCUCCUGCCUCAGCCUCCCGAGUAGCUGAGAUCACAGGAGCCUGCCACGACGCCCAGAUAAAUUUUUGUAUUUUUUUAGUAGAGAUGGGGUUUCACCAUGUUGGCCAGGCUGGUCUUGAACUCCUGACCUCCAGUCAUCUGCCCACCUAUGCCUACCAAAGUGCUCACUCCCAGGAGAUGAAUCUAUUGCUUCCAGAGCAUGAAUACUAGAACAGAGGACAGUUGGUAAAACUGAGAUACCAUGCCAGGUAAUAGUCGGAGUUUCAGCUGGAAAAUAGAAGAUAUGUUUCCAUUGGGUCAAGCAAGAAGAGCUUGAGACAUCUCAUCGAUUACCUACAAAAACUGCCCAGAUAAGUGAGGAGACCCAUGAGAUUUGGUAUAAAUUGCUCACUGUAUGUGGGGUAACAGAAAGAAGAAUAACCCAACAUAGAAAGCCUCAAAGCAGGAAGAUACUACACAGACUUCCAAAGAAGCAGUGAGAGGACACCAUCUGAUGCUGGCUGCACCAAGAAGCCUGAAUGGCUGUCAGUGUCAGGUGGGGAAGCAGAUGACAGAAGAGAGGAGAACAUGAAAUUGUACUAUAACUGCGUUUGUUGUCCAAAUAAGCACAAGCUGUUCCAUAUACUUUUACAUGUUUCAUUUACUUCUGCAGAGAGGAAAGAAGAAAGAUGAGAGGGAAAGCUAAGAAAAGGUGAGAAGAAAGGGUCAGGAGGAGAAAUGCAAAGAGACUGGGAUAAUUUUUUGGACCAUACCUUCUCUGCUGGCAGCUUACUGUGACUGCACCAUCCAAAAUUUGGUAUAAGGAUUUGGAAAUUUGACCAAUAUUUCUUAGAAGGUAAUGAAAUACCUAAUUGUUUUCCUUCCUUUUCAGCCCCAUCACCAUUUGUUCAUUCAAAAUUCAAAAGGUAAAGAUGAUGCCAUUUUAUGCUUGUAUAUAGUUUAAUUGAGAUUGCCUGAUAUCUCACAACAUAUUAGUAAUCUAAUGACUAGUAAUUCCUCUCUGGAGAUCACCCCUAAAAGUAUACCCUAGAAUGUGAACCAAAAUUUAUGUUCUAAAUUUCCUGUCAAGUAAUACUAUGUAAAGAACAAAAACAGGAGGGAUAUCUUAAAUUCCAAUGAUAGAAGACUGAUUGACUGUAUAUUAAUACUUUGAAGUAGUAGAAAUAUUAUAGUUCAAUUGAAAAUGAUAUCUGUAAGUAUUGCUAAUGAUGCCAGCAUAGAUUUACUAUGAAAUGUUUUGUGAAAAUAAUUAAGAUACAAUUGUAUUAUGGGUAGCAAACACAGGAAAAACUAGAAAGAAUACUAACAAGUAAACUGUGAUUAAAUUUCUACGGUAUGUGUUGUCAUCUUUUUAAUUCUAUUUUUCCAUAUUUUUCAAAUUUUCUGUAUGUAUGCAUAGUAAUUUUCUAUUUUGAAGAAAUAGGUGUUAUCAUUUUUUGAAGAAUAAAGGAGGCAGAGCUUUUAAUUUUAUAAUCCAUUUCUUCCUUUUAGCCUUGCUACAAGGCUGAAAAAAUGUACAAGAAAAAUUUUCCUGUUGUUUCUGCCUUAUUUUUAUUAGAGCAAGAAAAAAAUGAAAACCCAAAAGUAAAAUGAUAACAUGAAGAAAAUGAUACGUUUCUUAGGUAUUUAGCUGAAAUAGAGGUAUAGAGAAAAAUAAUUGAUGAUUUUGGGAGGGUAUUUUUCCUAUGUCAAAAGGUAGAACUUGAUGAUGUCAUAGUAACUCUUGUUUUGGAAGUGCAUAAAUAUUCAAAAUAAAAAUUUUAAAUGAUCUUGUUUUCCAGAAGAAAA